UUGAACGCUGGCGGCAUGCCUUACACAUGCAAGUCGAACGGCAGCACGGGGGCAACCCUGGUGGCGAGUGGCGAACGGGUGAGUAACAUAUCGGAACGUGCCCUGGAGUGGGGGAUAACUAGUCGAAAGACUAGCUAAUACCGCAUACGAUCUACGGAUGAAAGUGGGGGAUCGCAAGACCUCAUGCUCGUGGAGCGGCCGAUAUCUGAUUAGCUAGUUGGNGGGGUAAAGGCCUACCAAGGCAUCGAUCAGUAGCUGGUCUGAGAGGACGACCAGCCACACUGGACUGAGACACGGCCCAGACUCCUACGGGAGGCAGCAGUGGGAAUUUUGGACAAUGGCGCAAGCCUGAUCCAGCAAUGCCGCGUGAGUGAAGAAGGCCUGGUUGUAAGUA
rnacentral:rRNA from 1 species